UCCUACGGGGCGCAGCAGUGGGGAAUAUUGCGCAAUGGGCGAAAGCCUGACGCAGCGACGCCGCGUGAGGGAUGAAGGUCUUCGGAUCGUAAACCUCUGUCAGCAGGGAAGAACGGUCACUGUGCUAAUCAGCAGUGAAUUGACGGUACCUGCAAAGGAAGCACCGGCUAACUCCGUGCCAGCAGCCGCGGUAAUACGGAGGGUGCGAGCGUUAAUCGGAAUUACUGGGCGUAAAGCGCUCGUAGGCGGUAUGUCAAGUCAGGGGUGAAAUCCCGGGGCCCAACCCCGGAACUGCCUUUGAUACG
rnacentral:rRNA from 1 species